rnacentral:rRNA from 1 species
CAGCCGCCGCGGUAAUACGUAGGGUGCAAGCGUUAAUCGGAAUUACUGGGCGUAAAGCGUGCGCAGGCGGUUAUAUAAGACAGAUGUGAAAUCCCCGGGCUCAACCUGGGAACUGCAUUUGUGACUGUAUAGCUAGAGUACGGCAGAGGGGGAUGGAAUUCCGCGUGUAGCAGUGAAAUGCGUAGAUAUGCGGAGGAACACCGAUGGCGAAGGCAAUCCCCUGGGCCUGUACUGACGCUCAUGCACGAAAGCGUGGGGAGCAAACAGGAUUAGAUACCCGUGUAGUCCCUGUCUCUUAUAA